CAUGGCGUCAGCGCUUUAUCGUGUGCAACUCCGGACGGUGUUUGCAGGAAAGUAUCAAGCUUUGGGCACGUAGCAACAGUAGGCAGAGCGCGAUCGCCAUUGAAAGUGAAGUACGCCUCCAAUUUGUGAGUGCUUACUUUACUACUGAAGCUAUCCUGCUUGGAAUCCUCUACGAGCACGAGACCGUGGUAUACUAUGGGACAAGUGUUGGCCCCGGAUCCUCCAUCCGAGGAAGAAAAAAAACGAGAUCAGCAUAUCCAACUACGGAUAGCAAUCGAACAAAUAUUACGCCAGUAUGGAUUAUACUCGAAAAAGGAGAUUGAUGAAAUCGUUACCAUAUUGGAGGAUGUAGGCAUCAGAAAUGUUAAAGCCCUUGCCGUGCUUGACCAGAAGGCCCUUCAAGCAAAGAAGAUGAAACCGGCUGUCAUAAAUAUUCUGAUGAAAAAAUCUCAAGAAAUGAAGAGGCAGACUGGCUGGUGAAAGAAUGCUGCAAACGUUAUUUGAGAAUAAGAAGUCAUGUAUCAGAUGGAAGCGUUCCUGAACAACGUUGAGUCUCGUGAGAAACAUACAGUAAAUAUUCCGAUUCGUCCUAUUGGCUGCCUUGUAUUCUAUCUAUUCCACUUUACCGUCAUGGAUAAAACAAAAGAUAAUUAAAAAUAAAGGUGAUCCAUAAAGAUGUAUUUACUUACCAUUACCAACAGGUAUUGCGAAAUGAGAUUUAUCUGCACGGGGAAUUGUGUGUAGCCUAUAAAAUCUGUUCACAACGGUUUCUUCUUCUCGAAGACUUUAAAUCAUGGGACGACCUACUGGUCAUAAUAUAUUGAAUGUGCGUUCCUCAUUCUCCAAGACUUUAAAUCACGGAAAUACCUACUGUUCCUUUUAAUUUGAAUGCUGUUAGUAGAGUGCCUCUUUCUUCCUUUUCGCAAAAUAUUAACAAGGCAUAGCAAUGCGUACAUCACCAUUCACGUGUAACGUAUGCAUUGCGCACAUUGUCAACGGACAUUCAAUUUAAAUACACACGCUCUUCUUCCUCGGAAUGACUGAAAGCACUUACAUUAGCCGCUGUUUUUCCACAGUGGGAAUCAAAGAUUACUAUUGAGUGUACUGCACACUAAUAAACUGUGUUCAAAACGAUGAUACAUUGAUGAUAUAGAAAGAAAUUGUGCAUUCUCAUUCUAUUUCCAGACUUUGAACAACUUCACUGAACACUCGCACAAAUCUCGUGGAUAUUCUGACAUAGCGCAUGGAUAGUCUGAUUUGCACCUAAGCAUUUGAAAUUUAACUUUCUUUCCCGGAAUUUUAUUGUUAUAUUAGGAAAUUGAUUUUAUUAUAGAAAGAUAAUGCUGUAUUGUUAGGACAAGAUACAACAUAAAUAUAAGCUACAAGUAAAUAAUCCAUGGGAACUAAGACAUUCUUCUAUAGCAGUGUACACACUGGCUGAAGGAUGCAAUACUGGUCAUGUCAUGCUUUGAGCACCCUUGACGAAAGUACAAUAUGCGGAAGAUAUUAUCCGCAGUUUCCCCUUCACUAGGGCGUCCCUCAAAAGCCCUCUUUAACUUGGGAAACGCAAACGGCACAAUUUUUUAUUGGCGUUAAGUGCUAUUUUCUGCGGCGUUUAGAUUAUAAACUGCAGCAGUGUUUACCUUUUUUUUGUCUUGGAUUGACGUACGUGUAGAAAAAUGAGUACAUCAGUAUAUCAGGUUUUUAAUCACGAGACAUCACAUUGGCACACAAAACAUAA